rnacentral:rRNA from 1 species
UACGGGGGGGGCAAGCGUUGUUCGGAAUUACUGGGCGUAAAGGGCUCGUAGGCGGCCAACUAAGUCCGACGUGAAAUCCCAAAGCUUAACUUUGGAACUGCGUCGGAUACUGGACGGCUUGAAUUCGGGAGAGGGAUGCAGAAUUCCAGGUGUAGCGGUGAAAUGCGUAGAUAUCUGGAGGAAUACCGGUGGCGAAGGCGGCAUCCUGGACCGACAUUGACGCUGAUGAGCGAAAGCUAGGGGAGCAAACGGG